ensembl:lncRNA
GAAAACAACACUAGUGAUUAUGACAAUAAUAGUGAAAAUAAUAUUUAUGACGUAUUGUAUUAUAAAAUAAAAAAUAUUAUUAAUGAUUUAACACCCAAUGAACUUAAUAUUUUACUUCCAAAUAAAUCGGAUAUAAAUUCUAAUAUAAUGCAUACUAAGCUUAGAGAUGUACGAAAAGGACAUAACCCUAGCGCACAUAUUAAUAAAAUGAACGAAUAUGUACCAUCAUGUACUCAUUUAAUAAAUAAACACACGUCAAAGUGUUAUAAAAACAGUAUAAGUUUCAAUCGUAGUAGUAGCACUGGUAGUUGCAAGUGUAAUAGAAGUUGUGAUACCAUGUGUAAAAUCAGGAAUAGCAGUAGUAGAAGUAGAAAUGGUAGCAUUUUUAGUAGUAAUAGUAGUAGUAGUAGUAGUAGUAUAAGUAACGAUGAACGCAAUGGUAUUAGCCAUAAUAAGAAUAGUAAUAUUUUAAUAAAAAAAUAUAAUAAAGAUAAUACAUAUGAUUCUGAUUUUUCUUUAUUUAAUAAGAAUAAUAAUAAAAGCAUAUCUGAUUUAUAUGUUAAUAAAAGACGUCACAAAAAAAAUAACAUAGAAUACCAAUUUGGUUAUGGGUUGAAAAAAAAAAGAUAUAAAAAUUUAAAUAAAAGGAAUGGUAAUAAAUCUAUUUUUAGAAACAUAUUGAAUUUAAUUAGUUUAAUAAAAAGUAAAAUAAUAAAGACUGUAGCAAUUAAGAAUAGUAAUAUGAACAAAUUUCAAAGUAAUUGUUUACAUAAUUAUAUUAAAUUAAUAUUAACAGAGUUUCAUGACAAAAUGAAAAGAAUAUAUAUUAAAAUAUCGGUUGUAUAUGCUCCAGUUGCCGAAAUAAUGACAAGAUGUAUUAACAACCUUUAUAAAGAUGCCAACUUUUUAUAUGAAAUUCAAGGAAGAGAUAAAAAAAAUAUAUAUAAAUAUAUGAAACAUGUAGGGGAAAAUAAUUAUAUUCAUGCUAAUCAUUAUACUUUUAAAAACAAUAUGUGUUCAAAAGCAUUGUAUACAGAAAAAAAUAAACUCAACAAUAUGUACUUUGUUAAUAGCAAUAUUCCGAGUUUUAAUAAUAGUAAUGACUAUAACAAUAUAUGCACUCCUAAUUUUAGCAAAACGCUUGAUUAUUUUAAUAUGGUGGAUACUUGUGGUGUUUGCAAUACUUAUAAUAAUUCUACUGAUUUUAAAUUAGCUAAUGAAAAGAAGCAAUUACAAUACACUUCUAAUUUUCCGAUAUAUAUAAAUAACAGUUUACAAGAAAGUAUAAAAAGGAAAUAUACAUAUUUGGCAGAUAAAAUGCAUUUUUGUAGUAAUAAUAUGAACAACAAUAACUAUAAUAAUAUAAGAGAUAAUAGACAUAAGUAUUAUGGGUGGGAACUAGAACGUACAAAAAAUAAUUAUAGUGGCGCUAAUAAUAGUAAUAAUAAUAGCAAUGAAAAGAAUUGUUUGUUAACGGACCGAUGUAAUAGUAUAAAUAGUAAUGACACUUAUAAUUGUUACAAUAAUAUAGACAUACAUGAUACUAAACUUGAGCAACUUACACCUACUAUAAAUGUAUAUAAAGAUAAACAAAAAAAUAAAGAAACAUAUUUGAAAAAAAGAGAGAAAUAUAUAAAACGGUUGUGUUGUAUGUAUGCACAGGAUAAUGUACAUAAUUCAAAAGGAUUAAACGAAAAAAAUAAAAACAAAAUAAAUACAAAAUUUGAUUUAUUGAUGAAUAAACACGAGAAUGGAAAAAUAAAAAAUAAUUAUAGAAAUCAU